GACAAGAAUCCAGAGCAGACCUCUAAGUCAUCACAAACUACUUCAAGAAACACAAGCUGAAGCUGUUAAAAAUCACAAUCUGCUGACCUGUAGAUCACUAAGCCAAGAUGGCGCCGGGGGAAGGCGCCGUCGCAAGAGCUCUCCUGUGCGCAGUCUAUUUUAUGUUUGUAUUCGUUUUUGAAACGCUUGCCACUGUAAGAUAUGAUCGUGAGACACUUCUGAAGAUCCGGGAUGAAGGUUGUGGACUACCACAUGUUAUUCCCGAACUGAAGUGUGCUGAUUUUGUUGCGUGCCCUACUCGGGGCAAGAGAAGCCAUGAGUUGAGCCACGGAGAUCGGGAGCAGAGCGAGGGAACUGGGCGGAGGCAUCGUCACACACGCCGCUCACCUGAGCCUCAGAGCGCUGACGCUACAGGUUGCCUGCGGCGGAAGCGCAGACACCGAGGAAAGCGGGGAGGGCUGCUCGUGAAGCUACGCAGCCGCCCGUCGAGGAUUCCGCUGCCAUCCAUCUACCUGGCAAACGUCCAGUCAUUGUCCAACAAGACGGACGACCUGUUGUGCCGCAUCCACACCCAGCGCGAGGUCCGGGAAAGCUCCGUGUUCUGCCUGACCGAGACAUGGCUUCAUUGCAACGUGCCGGACUCUACUUUCCAGCCACCGGGAUUCUCCGUUCACCGCUCGGACAGAGUGAAAGAGCGCACCGGGAAAUCGAAGGGAGGAGGACUCUCCCUUAAAGGCGGUACAGAUGCUGUGGAUAAACUUCAUCAUGGACCCUCUGGCCGCUCUGGCUCUUGCCACCAACCAGCCGACGGAGUCUCUGCUCAAACAAAAAUCUUGCGGACGCAACAAAACCCUCAUCUCCAGGACCAUGAUGAAGAACAUUCUGGGCCACGCCGUGUACCAGCUUGUCGCUAUUUUUAUCCUGGUCUUUGCUGGUGAGAAAUUGUUUAGUAUUGACUGUGGCCGCAAUGCUCCCCUGGACUCCCGGCAUCAGUGCAUUACACUAUUGUGUUUAAUGCAUUCAUUAUGAUCCCUAUCUAUGAUACCUACACUGUAACAAAUUGCUGUAAAAAUACAGCAUAUUUUGUACAGUAAUAUACCGUUCUUUGUAAAUACAGCUGAAUACUGUAAAUUCACGUGUUUUUCAAGAACAAAAUAUUAACAGCAAGCUACCGUACAAUCUUACAGCAGAUUACAGUAUUUUUCUGGUUUGGGUUGAUUUGAGUGUGACUGUUGCUGCAGUCGGGCUGCACAGUGGCGUAGUGGUUAGCACUUUCGCCUUGCAGCAAGAAGGUCCCUGGUUCGCGUCCCGGCUUUCCCCGGAUCUUUCUGCAUGGAGUUUGCAUGUUCUCCCUGUGCAUGCGUGGGUUCUCUCCGGGUACUCCGGCUUCCUCCCAAAAAUAUGCUGAGGUUAAUUGAUUAUUCUAAAUUGCCCGUAGGUGUGAAUGUGUGAGUGCUUGUUUGUCUGUAUAUGUAGCCCU
ensembl:lncRNA